AUUGAACGCUAGCGGCAUGCUUAACACAUGCAAGUCGAACGGUAACAGGUCUAGCUUGCUAGAUGCUGACGAGUGGCGAACGGGUGAGUAAUGCGUAGGAAUCUGCCUUGUAGUGGGGGAUAACCUAGGGAAACUUAGGCUAAUACCGCAUGUGCCCUAAGGGGUAAAGCAGGGGAUCUUCGGACCUUGUGCUAUAAGAUGAGCCUACGUCGGAUUAGCUUGUUGGUGAGGUAAUGGCUCACCAAGGCGACGAUCCGUAGCUGGUCUGAGAGGAUGAUCAGCCACACUGGGACUGAGACACGGCCCAGACUCCUACGGGAGGCAGCAGUGGGGAAUAUUGGACAAUGGGCGCAAGCCUGAUCCAGCAAUGCCGCGUGUGUGAAGAAGGCCUGCGGGUUGUAAAGCACUUUCGGUGGGGAGGAAGGUCUUAAUGCUAUAUCAUUAAGAAUUGACGUUACCUACAGAAGAAGCACCGGCUAACUCUGUGCCAGCAGCCGCGGUAAUACAGAGGGUGCGAGCGUUAAUCGGAAUUACUGGGCGUAAAGCGUGCGUAGGUGGCUGAAUAAGUCAGAUGUGAAAGCCCUGGGCUUAACCUGGGAAUUGCGUUUGGUACUGUUUGGCUAGAGGAUGAGAGAGGGAAGUGGAAUUUCCGGUGUAGCGGUGAAAUGCGUAGAUAUCGGAAGGAACACCAGUGGCGAAGGCGACUUCCUGGAUCAUAUCUGACACUGAGGCACG
rnacentral:rRNA from 1 species